rnacentral:lncRNA from 1 species
CAACAUCGGAAAGCUAGACAGACAAAAAGGGUUUACAUAACCUAAACUUAAACGAAGUAUAGUCUGCAUCGUCUUAAAAAAAUCAUUGCAAAAUACUCAACAAAAAAUUGAUAAAAUACAAACAUGUUAAAGUACGAUGAAAUAAUGCGAACAGAGAUAAUGUAUCGCAAAGCGAUGUUUUGUCAAUGGAAGUUUUUAUCGUCGCUUUAUGUUAAACGUAAAAAUGCGACAUGUCACAUUUACAGUAAUACAGUUUUGCUCUAAUUAAAAUAUCGUUGCGGAUGUCUGCUAGACAUAACGUCUGCUAUCAUUAAUUACUUUCUUUCUAUUAUCUCGACGGUAUAAUAUGUAUUGGACAUUCGCGAGUCUAUCGCAAAUGUCGCUUCAUAUAUCGGCAGGGUCGAUAGACGGUCACAGCUUUAUCAAUUCACAUGACGUAUGGUGUGAUGAGGGCACUACCAUUAUCUACUUUCUUCGAAAUGGACAACGUUACGAUGUAAUUUUUUCUUAACCCGGUGAGUCGCCUUUUUUAAACAUCUCGUAUAUAACUCUAAUCUGCAUUUUUUAUUCAUAUCCAUUGAAGCGAUGCUUUCUGAAUUCAACUUCAUAAGAUUAUAAUGACAAUUAAUUAUGUUUAUUCCUUCUACAUAUGCAAGAAUUUACGAUGAUUGAUAAUGAGGGAAAGUCUAGAGUACGCAGUUUCUGAUAACACGGUUUGCUACGCUCAUAAAUCGUGCGUCUAAGACCGGGUUCUCCGCUGUAACAUAUUAUUGUGUAUCGCUAUAAAUCAAUUAGUAGUCUGAUGGGAAGACUGAAAAAAUUAAAUACGCGUUGCAUCAACGAUUAUGCGCAGUAAAGCAUUUAAUUAAUUAAAUAUACCAUGAACUCUGUAUCUAAAUUUUGUAUGUAAAGUACUUAUGACGCGAGUUUGUGAAAUGAUAAGAUCAUAGCGAAUUUGUUACACAUAUACAGUGUCAAGUGGGCAUUAAUUCUCAAAUUGUCAAGCUAUGCAAAGCAGAUAUGCAAAAAAGAAAGGAAACAUCACGUUGACCAAAAUUAGCUUUGAUUAGCGCAUAUUUUUAAAGAACGUCGAAUUUUGACGAUCAAAAGUCCAAAAAUAGAAUAAGCAUAUAAUAAAAUAAAAAAUAAAAAUAUUUCAGCGUCUGGCUUUCAAUUGAUUUAUCGAUAACGAAUCUAAUCAGACUCGAUUUCAAUGGAUGUUAAUACAGUCGCGGACGCUUGAAUAUCAAUUUAUCAUCAAUUCUUACGCGACGAAGCCAUGCAUGUACAACAGAGCGCUUAUCAACAACAUUUACAUGCCUACGUAAAUGUGUCCAUGAAAGUCGAACCAGUCGUCUUUCGAGCUCGAUUGACCAGUUCGGAUGGGUUGUCUGUCGCAUGCUAUCGUUAUGCAUAAAUUUUUUUUUCAUUUCCAUACUUGGCUCACACCUAGUUCAUCCGAUCUCACUCUCAAGGUAAUCCGGAGAAAUUCUGCUCUCACUGCAGUAUUUCGCUGAGACAUGCAUUUAAACGUACUGCAAUGUGCAUAGAGACUGUAAAUUUUACACGUUUGAAUAAUUCUAUUUAAAAAAGAUGCUGCAAUUGCAAAAUCUGGACUCUAAGUCGGACGUAUGACUCGCGUGAAUCUGCGAAUCAGGUGGAGGAUGGAUUGCGAAAAAGCAACUAGAAUAUUCUUUCCAAGCCGCAAACCGGUGACGAAUGAGGCUCCAUUGAAAUCAAUUGGAAGGUGCAAAACGUCAACCGAGAUAAUUCAGCCAGUUGACCCGCCGUGAUGAUUCUAAUACUAGAGUGCAACACGCACAUUCGUCGUCGCGUUAUAGCGCGGCAUUUCACAGACUCUGUCUUCCUCCUCGCAGCUGUGGCGGAUAGAAAACUUUCAACGAAACGCUUCCUACUAUUCCACCAUCGCUCAUCCUUCAUUUAUCACACUCUGCGCCCAUCAACGCAUCAGCGAUUAACGAAUCUGACCACAAUUUCGUUAUCAGAAUUGAAAUCGGCUAGAUAGAACAAAAGCAGGAAACACGAUGUAUGAUUUAUCUUCGUUACGAGAGCAAUGUAUGUACUCAUCCUUAGUCGAUAUUGUACAACUCUUGAAGAUUAGGCUUGGCGUCAAGUGCACUCCGGUUAUCUAAUCGAGUGCGCUUCUCCAAAGAGCGCAGCUCAUAAAUAAUCUGCCUGCCGUUUGAAUAAUGGAACUUCCGUAAUUCAUGACUAUUAUCAGCAAGGGCACCGUAUAAAUCCGCGUGAGAUGAAGGUACGUAGGAGUUGAACGUGAAAAAAUGUCGCAUUCUUAAAUGCUUUUAGCUGUAACUACCACAUUCGAACAAGUUUUUGCGAAUGAUCCUGCAUAAAUAACGAGCAUAAAGCAACGUUUUUCCCAUUCAAGAGACUCAUAACUCCGAAAAAUACGAAAGUGAUAAUUUUAACAAACUUCAGCGCAGAGUGAAAACAAGAUGCAAGACGAAAUAGAAUAAAUGACAUUGGACGAUGUGAUAACGUCUUGUCAAAUGACCGAAGUGCAACGGAUGUCACGCGAAAUGACUUGCAGGAUCGAGUGCCUUGGAAGUGAAUUUAACUGAAAGAUAAAAUUUUGGAAUCCAACGAUGAUUAUCUAUAGAAUACAAAACCGAAACAUCACGAGCUUAUUUCUUUCAACAAAGCACAGAUACCUGUCCAAAUAGAAGAGGCCCAUCAACAUUCCAUUUUUUUUUGGAGUAUAGAAAAAAAAAGAAAAUAUCGUACGUUCGACGAAAGAUUCGAGCCUGUAACUUCUCGUAAAUUUGCGAGUAUCGACAAGUGGACGGCGCGGAAACUGCAGUUUACUGGAGCGCAUUUAGGAACGGUGACACUACUUGGUCCAGCUUUAAUGA